GCCGAGCUCCAUAGGUUCAGAGCUGGUCCUAUGGAGCUCGGCUUCGAGCCUAUGGAGCUCGGCUC